GACGAACGCUGGCGGCGCGCUUAACACAUGCAAGUCGAACGGAAAGGCCUGCUUUCCCUUGUGGAUUGCGGGUACUCGAGUGGCGAACGGGUGAGUAACACGUGAGUGAUCUGCCCCCAACUUGGGUAUAAGCCUGGGAAACUGGGUCUAAUUCCCGAUAGGACUGCAGGGUGGUGCCUGUGGUGGAAAACGAUUUUCUAGUGGUUGGGGAUGAGCUCGCGGCCUAUCAGCUUGUUGGUGGGGUAAUGGCCUACCAAGGCGGCGAGGGGUAGCCGGCCUGGGAGGGUGGACGGCGACAUUGGGACUGGGAUACGGCCCAGACUCCUACGGGAGGCAGCAGUGGGGAAUAUUGCACAAUGGGCGGAAGCCUGAUGCAGCGACGCCGCGUGGGGGAUGACGGCCUUCGGGUUGUAAACUCCUUUCGACCGCGAGGAAGCCACCUGGUUGGAAGGGUGGUGACGGUAGUGGUAGAAGAAGCACCGGCUAACUACGUG
rnacentral:rRNA from 1 species